UGCCAGGCCUCCAGGCCUUGCAAGACCUGGCUGUGUGCAUCACAGGCUCACGAGACCCGGGCUAUUUGCAGCAGCAGGAAGCACUAGAGUGAAGCCUGAGGGGGCUCCUCUGGAUCCCAGAGAGGCAGCACUGAAGGGGCCGUGACAUCACCCAGGCUGGGGGUUCUGCACCCCCUGACACUGUAGAACCCACCUGUCCGACACUCACCGCCUCCUCGCUCUUGUGGAGCUGGGCCGUAUCCUUCCAGGCACCCUCUGGUACCGCCCCAACUGCCGCCUGGCUCCGGCCAUCCUCUGCCUGGGCCUGUGGGGAUGGCUCCAGGCUGGGGAAGGGGGUGAGGGUUACUCUCGAGCUCUGGGAGCUGCCCUGGCACCUCCCUGUGCUCACAGAGCCAUCUUCCCUCCCUAGGAUGGGAGGCGCCAGAGUCAGCCUUUAAUGGGGCUGCCUCACCUGCCCUCGCCGAUGGCCUCAGUCUGCACCUGGACAGUGAAGAGCUUCCAGGAACUAUCCUGGAACACAAAGGUAUGG
rnacentral:lncRNA from 1 species